rnacentral:misc_RNA from 1 species
UGCAACCAUGUUCUUCAUCUUGAUGAUUUUCAUGGCGAUGUCAUUGCCACCCAUUUAUGCUUGUGGUCCAUGUACUCAGCCACAUCCACCGACGCGCCGCCCAACCCACCCAAAAGUUCCCUACCCGAAACCACCAGCCACCAAGCACCCACCAAACAGUGGAGGCCAUCCACCUUCAAAAAACCCCCCAAUGCCACCGAUAGUACUACCACCAAUAAUCAUUAAUCCUCCCCCAGUAAUAUCUCCUCCCGUAACAAAUCCUCCUGUAAUUAUAACACCCCCGAUAACACCGCCACCUUCUUCGAGCUACCCACCGUACACUGGCGGCCCUCCUGGUGGCGGGGGUGGUGGUGGAGGAGGAGGUGGUAGUAGUAAUCCUCCACCUACUACUCAACCAACUUGUCCAAUCAAUGCACUUAAGCUAGGAGCUUGUGUUGAUGCGCUAGGAGGUUUGGUGCAUGUUGGGUUAGGGAAUCCAGUUGAAAAUGUUUGCUGCCCUGUACUAAAAGGACUGCUGGAGCUUGAAGCAGCUGUUUGUCUUUGCACUAGUAUACACCUUAAGCUCCUUAAUCUCAAUAUUUUCAUUCCUAUUGCUCUUCAAGUCCUAAUAACUUGUGGAAAGACUCCACCUCCUGGAUUUGUAUGUCCUCCUCUUUGAAAUUUUACUUCAUUAAUAAGAUGAGUUAUGGAUUAUUAGGUUAAAUGGUCCCUUGUUUUGGUGGUAGGAUUUGUGUUAGUGUUGUGACUUGAUUUGCUGUUUCGUUCUUCGUAGUGCUCAACUGCCAACUUUGAUUCUGGUGGAAUACGACUGGG